AAUAAAAAUUAAAAAAUUUUACAUACAAGAUGACCUCCCACCAAAGGUAUGAUUUUGUUAUAUCAGACACCAACUUUUUGAUUUUAUUAGAACACAUGUAGUUGAGCAUGAAGAAGACGAUUGUGAAGUCAGAAUUUGACAUACCUAGUUUUGAAGUUAUAGCUACCUAUUCUAAAUCUGAGACCCACGCAAGGUGGUUUUACAUAACAAGUCGAGGGAUGAUAUUUCGAUUUUAAUUUACCGAGCCAGAAAUACUAGAAUACUAUAAAUGUAAAUUAGCUGUAGGUAACUUUAAAACGAAGCUUGACCACCAUAUUCUGACUUCACCAUCGUUUUCAAAUUGAGAAAAAAGGGUGUCCGGUAAAAUAAAUAAGUUUCAUACCAAAGUCCCGGUAGUACUCUCUUCAUAUUUGAACUAUUUUGAAUGAGUACAAUAUUUUAUGCAAUGUACGAAAAAAAAUGCAAGUCUACAGUUAUUCGUUUUCGAAUUACAGCAAAAUAAGAAAAUCGUUCGAUGAAAAAUUGUUAAUUUCCUGAGAGAACAUCCAUCGUCGUAAAAAUUUGAACAUCAAACGCUCUUGAAAAAUUAAUUUGACUUUCCGCAAAAUUGUAUUUUUGUUAAAAAAAUGGUAGGAAAACUUAUAAACAGCCUCCUAUUAAAUUUUCAAGUAUUGAAACUAGCUGUUAACCGAUUAAAUAUUAUUAAAUAAUCACUAAUUUUACAAUGUUCUAACUAUAUUAUUAUUCAUCGGGUAUUUUGGUAUGUACCUACCAGCAAGUGUUAGUUUAUUCGUGGUAUGCCUAUAGCCUAUAGAACUUUUAUUUUUAAUGUUUUUUUUAAACAUAAAAAUAAUAUAUAUAAUAAACGAUGUACAACUUUUUUUCGUAGUAAGUACACGGACAUAAUAUUUCAAACAUAAUACAAUGAAAAAGUACUGGAUUAAUCUUAUUUUAUUUUCGUAUUAUACACAUUUUAAACUAUUGUCAUUUUCUGAUUUUGAUUGGGUUUUUUUGUCAUUUACUCAAAGCUGUAAUUAUUGAAGAUAAAUUCAAAAUUUAAGUAAUUUCUAACGAUCAUUAAUUAAAUUAAGCGACAUAUUGCUAACAAUUAGGUGCAUACCUCAGACAGUUACAAAAAUCUCAUUUUUUUUCUUUCAUAUUUUUAUUUUCAUGUGUUUGUAGCACAUUUGCAACGAUACCCAUUAUUAAAGUAAUACCUUAAAUAUUAAUGCAAUAUUAAGUGCCAUAAAAUUCCAAACAUAAAUUAAUCGCUAGUAAAUUAAUAAUAACCACAACUGCUUGUCAGGAUUGUGAUGGCGGGUAAACGCCUUUGGGAAUACGGUGAUGCUGUAUGAUUGUAAAUAAUAUUAUUCUCUCAUAAUAUUUAGGUGCUAAAUAAAUAAUUACUUUAUGAUUACGUAUUAACAAUAAAUACUUUUUAUUAUUUUUAUUUGAUUUGGCGGAUAACCAACAAAUUCUGCACACAGACGACCGGUGCAGGGGAUGGUAUUGUUAUCACAAAAUUGUCCCGCCACUGGCAGAUCAAAUAUCUACCUCCAUAAACACCGAUACGUUACGUUCUACACCAAAAAAUAUGACACGGCCGUUUCGUCGGACAAUUCUCAUUGGAAGUUAUCACGAAUUUCCGAUAAGGCUAACAACAAUAGCGCCGUAACGUCACAGUGGUAGAUGAUUCGAUUUGUUUACAGUCGCCAUUUGCGCUUCGUGACUUCGAACUGAUCUCGGCGUCCGUGAGCGAAGUGUAAUUUUUUUUAUGAUUUUCACCUCGACAAAAGCAGUUUAAGGAUCGCCAUCAUUUCGGUCUGUGUUGUCAGAAAUCUAUUGAGCUUGGUCAACGUGUGUCGAUCGGUUUCCAUCGCAACAAUAACAAUUGUGUACAGCGUUGAAGUACCGACGUGUCAGACAUUAAUUUUGUUUUGUAUUCAACCUUUUAGUCAUCGCAUGUUGUAGUGUGAAAGCUAGAACCACUUGUUGUGGAAGGAAUUUAAGUUCAAAUUGAUGGGGUUGUGUUAUCAGAAAUCUGUUAGUGCUCGGUCAAUGUGUCAAUGUGUGUAGAGCAGUUUCCAUUGCAACAUUAACAAUUGUGGACGAUGUUGAAGUACUAGUGUCAGACAUGCAUUUUGUCUUGCAUUCAACAUACAAAUUAUUGUAUACUUUAAUUUGACAGUAUUAAUUACUUCAUAGAUGGUUGUGGAGAGAAUUUAGGUGCAAGUUUUAAGGUAAGCAGCUCAGUAUUCUAAAAUAAUUAAUGCUUCAAAAACAAUUUUAUCUAUUGUUUUACCUAAAAUAAUGCUUUCUGCAGAUGUUGUAUGACCUUAAAUGUUAUAUACUACACUCUGUCUCAUAUACCUAAAAGUAAGAUUGUUCUGUUUAAAGAUAAGUUAUAAUUAUACUUUUUAAACAUGUUUUAUGCAUAUACCUUAAAAAAACAUUGUACCAGAAAAAGAACAAUCAAAACAAUGGUUUUUUAUUAAAAUGUUUUAUACAUUAAAAAUUCUUAAUUUCUAAUUAAAUAAUUAAAUACUGCUUAUUAACUAUAAAUAAGUAUUGUGUAUUAAAUAAAUAAAUAAAUAUUUAUUAUAAAUCACUGUUCUGGCCUAGUUACAACUUACAAAAACAUACGUUUGUUAAGUUAACACACAUUUUCAAGGCUCAUAAUUAUAAUAAUAAAAAAACAGGCUAAGAACUACAAGCAUAAAGAUUGUUUAAAUCCUUUAUCAGUUAAGAACAUUGGCAGUAAUUUAUUGGACAGUUGGGGAUUUUAUGAUGUUAUUCAAGCCUGGUCAUAAACAAGUUCAAAACAUUGAACUUUUUAAAACUUAAUUUUUAACUUAAUUGAUUUUUAUUGAUAUAAAUUUAUUAAAUUACGAGUUACUUUCAAUCUAAUCAAAGUUAAGUUAAUUUAUAAAUAAUUUAAUAAUGAUUAUAAUAACAUUAUUAUUGAUAAUGCAUAUUGGAUGAACAUUUACUAAAAUAGGUAAUUAGAUUAAAUGAUCGUUUCGUCAACUAGAAUUGUUCAGUGAAAAUAAUGUAGUACAUAUGCCAUAUUUUAAUGGUAAUAAUAUUAAUAAUGAAUAAUAUUGCAUUAUAGCACUGUAUAAAAAUAAACAUUAUUAUGAACUUUUAACUUUUAAGCAUUUUUUAUCUAUUUAACUUGAUUCAAUUAAAAAUUAUGACAAACUUGCCCAGGCUUGAUAUUAUUGAUGACAUUGCAGAGGAAAAAAUCAAGGAAUGUAGGUGCCCAAUUUGUAAAUUUUGAUGCUACAUAUUUUUAUUUUUUAGCCUAAGGUAUUUUAUAAAAACAUUUGUAUAACUACAUUUAUAUCACCUAUAAAUGACUAUAUGUAUAAACGUAACUGUAUGAAUUUAUAAAAAUCAUGUAACAUUAGUAUUUAUCUAGAUUUAAAACUAGAAAUAUAUUUUACAUAUGGUAA